GAGAUCAGUCUCCAGUGGCGUUUUGGUCCGGGAAAGGCCCUGACCUGUGGCCACACAUUAUGUAACCAUGCCACGUGAAGUGCAUUAGGUGAUCACUCACAUGAGUCUGUGCCUGGCUUAGAGACACUGUUGUCUACAAAAGGUAUAAUUACCCUGCUAGCGGCUAUACAUAGGGCUUGUGCCCAGAAAGAGGAUAAAGCCAUAUCAAAACUCCCUACGAUUCCUGUAGUGUUUUUCCAGCUACUCCCCCACCGACUCCCCUCGGACCUCAGUUUGGGAUAGAACCUGACAAUUGGUGUCAUGAACAGGAUCCUGAGAUUUAGAAGCAGUGGCGUCCCUCUUGCGGCAACAUUUAGCAGCAUGUGGUUGGGCCGUCAACGAAUCCAAGGUCCAAGGUCCUGGAUUAUCUGCCAGAUUCUUGGGAGUUAUCUGGUCAGGCUCCAGUUAGUAGUUGCUGCCUAGGAGAUGAAGUGAAUUUCACAAGAAAGACAUAAGAAGCCAACAACUGAGCAUCUGCCUUCCUUUUUUGAAUUUUAGAGCUUACAUUCUUAGUGAGGAUUUCCUAGACAUCUCUCUCUGCU
rnacentral:lncRNA from 10 species